AAACAACACUAACGGAAACAUCAACGUGAAAGCAAAAGACGGACGGACGCCCUCUGUCCGUGUUUGUGUGUUCAAAAGUUCAACGUGGCCCCCGUCGUCGCGCAGCAGUCGCACUCAAACUUUGUUCCAGUCACAAACACACACACACACACAAACACACACCUCGACAGCCACACACUCCCACACACCCACGAAGAAGAGUAGCAAUCAGCAAGCACACACAAUGCAUAGCAGCGAAUAAGCGUGUAAGGUGCAAUAAUAGUAAUAACGGCAUUUGCAUGAAAUGCAGCAUCACACAGAAGUUACAGCUGACAAAGGGAGAUAGCGAUAUGCUUGUAGAUAAGCAGAAAGGGAGAGAGGGGCAGGCUGAUCAAAUAGGUGCGAGAGCAUGGAGUGGAGAGAGCUCUCCACCAAAGCUACAAACUUCAACGGAGAAAGAGAGUGAGAGUGCGAGCGAGAAACAGUUGUUGGUGUGCCUACAGCGUACAUUGAUCGUGAAGCUAAGGACAUGGAUGGUUAGCAGAGUCUCAGAUUUGACAAGUCAAAAGUGCAUUUACUGUUAACUUGUCGAAGUCACAACUUAAUUUACAACAGAGACGCCAAGUGCAUUUAGCAGUUAGCCAGUGAGAGAGUCGCCUCGGGAGUACAACGAGAUAGAGAUAGAGUGUAAAACAAAGACAGAGACAGAGACAGAGACAGCGAUAGCUGGAGAGGGCCCCAGAGGGCAAACGACAAAGAGAAAGGGUCAAUGAGCGACUGACGAGAUGGGUGAUUCCAAUCAGCACUUAGCCAUUGCAUCCCUGUGCCUCAGGGCUCAUUGAGAGUGCAAGUCAGUCAGUCAGUCCCCCCGGCGGACAGCGUCCCGUCCAGCUUCCCGGACUGUGGGGAAUUCGAGAUUUGCACUCGAGUUCGAAAGCGACAAUAUUGUUGCAAGUUGGUGCAGCCAGUGGCCGCAGUGGUGGCAUGCCUUAAAAAUAGAACGAGAGAAAGAGAAUAAAUUAAAAUACAAACCAAAAACCAACAAAAAUAAAUAAAACUCUGGGUAGAUGAGGCAGCGACAGGCAGAGGAGGAACAGCGGCUACUUGCAACGCGGAGUUGAAUGCGCCUCGUCGUGGGUGUCGCGCACAUAUAUACUCGUAUAUAAAUAUCAUCUUAUUUUUUUUUGCUGUUAUUCUAUAGUUCAUAAAUGUAUAUUUUGGUUUGAAAAAUAAACAAGUGAAAGAAAAGUAGUGGCCCAUUGUGGCCGCAAAUGGAAAUUCGUAUGAAAAUGUCCACUCGGCAACAGGAAAAUCAACAACAGCAGCAACAACAACAGAAACAACAACAAAAGCAACAGCAGAAACAACAACAUCACCAACAACAACAGCAACAAUCAGAGCCAGUGGCUCUGCAACAACUUGAGGAAAAACUUCAACAACAUCAGGAAAAACUACUCAGAAAAGUUAAAGAACUUGAAGAGCAUCAGGUAUACCUGGCUACACAUACGGAAACAUUGAAGCACCACCAGAAGGCAGGACUACAACAAAAGGGUGAAGGAAUCAUAGAGCUACAGGCAAAGGAUCAGCAGAAAAAACUUCAACAACAGUUGCAAAAAGUUCAACAACAGCGAAUGCAGUUAACCAGUUCAACAUAAGCCACCACUCCAUCAUCACAGACGGCUGUCGGAUCGCUCUUUGACUUUUCGCACACUCACACAAACACUGAAACAACACACACAUAUACAUAUAUAGAUACAAAUACAUAUGCAUAAAUGGCAAUAUGGACGGACAGCAGCAGCAUUUGUGUUGUAUCCUUAUACUACUCCUUGUACGCCUUGCACAGUGACGCGCGCGUGCCAAAAAUUUUGCCGAUUUUAUCAAGAGAAAAGCAGAAGCAGCAGAAGCAGAAGCAGAAGCAUCAGCAGCGGCACUGGCAGUGGCAGCCAUUAACUGAAGGAGCAGAAGCUGGAGCAGCAGGAGGAGCAGCUGCAGCCACUGAACCUCCUACAGAAACAACGAAUAUUGCAAAAGGGCGGCGCAAACUAUCACAGUGGGUAUACCAAAAAGCACACCCAUACAAGUGUAUGAGCACACACUCACACAGACAUCCAGACACACACAAACACUGUAUAUAUGUGCAAAUGCAUGCACAUACCCCUUG
rnacentral:lncRNA from 1 species